rfam:Gossypium hirsutum cultivar TM-1 unplaced genomic scaffold scaffold445.1, whole genome shotgun sequence
UAUUAAAUAUUUCAUUCAUUUCUAUUGUUAAAAACUAAUAUAGCCAAUAGAAUAACCAUACAGUUAUAAAUGGCGUGCCACAUGUAUCUCAUUCUGAUGUGCAAUGAUCAGUUUUUAACAGUAGAAAUAGAUGAAAUUUUUAACG